CAGAGCUUAGGCACCCAGCCCCAUCUUCCUGCUUGGAGUGGGGCCUUGGCCACUGCUUGCUGGUCGGUCCUGAAAGCCAAGAGGAGGCUGCUGAUGGUGAGUGACUGGCAGGCCCAGGGGAGCACGAGCUGGGCUCUGAGGCAGUAUGGUGGGGAGCGGAGCGGGUGCAGGGCGGCUCGCUGGGCCACUUGGCCUUCACCGCUCACAGCCCUGGUCCCCUUGUUCCGCUGUUACCUCUCAUUGUGCCGGGAGCUCCCCGGAGGCACGUGUAGACCCACUUCCUCUCCUCCCCAGGCCCAGCACAGAGCAGGCCACUGGGGAGGGGAACGGACACCCUAGGGUAGUGGCCACAGGGCUGGCAGCUGGCCUGGUGCAGGCGUCUCAGUGGGGACAGGAUACCUAGGAGCAAGCAGAGCCCUGUCCCUCCUGCCCUUUCCCCGCCCCAGUCAGGCCCCUGUAAUCUCCGCUCCCAGGCAGCGACUGGCUGCGCUCUCUGGGCUGUGGUUUGUCGUUCCCCUCCGCGGGCCAGGCUCUGUUGUCUAGCUGAUACCAGCUGCCGUGGCCACGUGCUCCAGGCACUUCCCGCGGAGCCACCACGGCCCCACCUCUUGCAGUUCUCACAGCGGCCCAUGGUUACCCUGUCUGCAGAAGUUAAAAUGGGCUUCGAAAGCUCGAGUCACUGCCCAGAGUCAUCUAGCAGGAAAGUACACGAGCUGGAGCGACCUCUAAAGCCCAGCCCUUUAUGCGACACCUGGGCCUGGUGCCCUUAUCCUACCUGGGCCCCAGCCUGGCCCCUCAGCCUUGUGCCCACCGCAGGUGCCUGACGGCUUCAUCUCCCAUUUCUACUCCGUAUCGGAGCAUGUGAGCCCUGUCCUAGCCUUCGGCUUCCUUGGACCCAAGCC
rnacentral:sRNA from 1 species